UCUCGGUUUUCUCCUUUCCCUAAAGGGCUGUGAGAAAUCAACUCAGAUGGGCAGUCUUAGGGGCACGCUCCUUUAAGCCAUAUUGCCCAUCUCAUGUGGUCUUUCUAAACCCCAAUAUCCCCAAUUCUCUGCGCACCUUCACAAGAUGCGCUCAGCGGACCUAGCUGGCAAUUAAUGCUGGUUAUUAAUAUUGGGACAAUAAAAUCCUGAGAUUGACCGUGGCGGCGCAUGCCUUUAAUCCCAGCACUCUGGAGGCAGAGUGUUUUGCCUGCAGGUAUGUAUGUGCACCACAUUCAUGCUGGGUGCCCACAGAGCUCGAAAGUGGGCAUUGGGUGCCCUAGAAUUGGAGCUGCAGGAAGUUGUGAGCUGUCGCAUGGGUGCUAGGAACUGGACACCGGUCCUCUCCAAGAAUUCAUGGACGUAAACAGCAAAUAUGACCACUGGUUGUGAUAUUGGACAACACGGGUUGAGGCCAAACCUAAGAGCUCACUGGCGUUACUAAAGCAUACUGGUUUUAAAGGACAGGAACCAAGUGGUCCGAUUCCAGAGCCAGGGCUAUUCAUGAAUGAAAAUGAUUUUAUGACUAUUUCUGCAAUGGGUAUGUAGACCUAAUUUAUAGUUGCUUACCAUGCUAGUCAUUCAUGCUCCAAUUUCUACCAACAGUAUAAUUCUGGAAAGCAGUGGAUAGAUUACAGAUUUACCAUUUUUAUAUGCAUAAGGAAAUUUAAUUCACCUCCACAGUAAAUUGCAACUAGAAUACUCUAAUAUAAUUUUUAAAGGUGACUUGUAUUUUGCAUGAGAAUUGCAUUUUAAUUUGGCCUAUAAUCCAUAGUUUGAAAUUCAGGGCUUUGAAAACUGAAAAUGUUUUAACAAGUAUUUAGAAUACUUGUAUGAGUUCCAAUAAACCUACAGUUGAAUGUGAAGAUAGUUUGCUAACUUCACCUUUUAUAUGAAAAUAUAAAACAAAGCAGGCAUGGUAGUACAGGCAAAGCAGGGAAGAUCCUGAGUUUGAGGUCAGCAUAGAAUACUUAAAUAGUCAGUCUCUCCAAAACAAAUGAAAUACUAUCUUGUUAAGACAGGUUUUGCACAUAGCCCUGGUGUUCCUAGAAUGAUGUAAACCGGACUGGCCUUGAACUCUUGAAGAUCAGACUGAGUUCCUGAGUACUAAGAUUAAGGCAAUCACCACAACAGUUGGCUUCUUGUUUUAUCUUAAAGAAAAUGAGGGGGGAGGGACAAAAAUUGAUUUCCCAAUUCUAUAUUUUCACCUUUAAUUAAAAAAAUUUUGGUAUAGGGCAGUCAACCCAAGGACCGGACAUACUUCCAAUGAGCUAUAUUUCUAUAAUUUGAGUGAAAUAAAAAUACGUUGGGAACUACCCACUUCACCAGAAGAAAAUUUCCCUGGCAAACAAGCUACAAUUAAUUCAUCCUCCUUUCUCAAUUUUUGAUGCUAAAACUAAUAUAAAAAGGACAAACAGCGAAGAGUAGUGGUGACUGCUUUUUAAACCCAGGAUGAGGGCGACCUGGACUACAAAGAAAGUUCCAAGCUAGCUAAGGGCUCCACAGCGAGCCCUGGUCUCCAAAAUAAGUAACAAAUGCUUGCAGAUUUACACACCUACGUAACCAAGGACAGAAAAGCUAAAGAUAAGCUAGGCUUUUAAUCUUAUUUUUAAAUUAUUCAUCUAUUUUAUGUGUGUUUUGCCUGAAUUGCGUCUGUGUACCACGAGGAUGUGUGAUGCCUGUGGAGGUGCCAGAAGAGAGAGCAUCAGAUCCCAGGAACUGGAGUUAAGAUGGUUGUUAACCACCACGUUGGUGCUGGGAAUCCUACCUGGAUCCUCUUGAAGAGUAGCUGGAGUUUUAAACUGCUGAGCCAUCCCUCCAGCUCUAAACUUCGGCUUUUCAGAUUUCAGCUUUUUGUUUGUUUUUGUGAGACAGUUUCUCUGUGUAGCUCCGCCUGUCCUGGACUCACUUUUUAAACCAAGUUGGCCUCGAACUCACAGAGAUACGCCUGCCUCUGCCUCCCUGAGUGUUGGGAUUACAGAUUUCAGCUUCUUGACUCCUGUACCUGAACUUCCUUGCAGAAUAAGUUUUAAUUUUAAAUUUGUAUGGAGCAUCUGAGUCAGCAGAAGGGAAGAUUUUAAGCGGAACUGGUCCCCCAUUUCUCUUACUGGGAUUUAUUUUCCCACCGCACUUGUUUUCGCCUUUGAUAUUUCCUUCUCGGUCCCCAGCUCUACAACCACUUCUUUAAUAUAUAUCUUCGGUACACUUCCGU